rnacentral:rRNA from 1 species
UACGUAGGGUGCGAGCGUUGUCCGGAAUUAUUGGGCGUAAAGAGCUCGUAGGCGGUUCGUCGCGUCGGCUGUGAAAUCCCGAGGCUCAACCUCGGGUCUGCAGUCGAUACGGGCGGACUGGAGUUCGGCAGGGGAGACUGGAAUUCCUGGUGUAGCGGUGAAAUGCGCAGAUAUCAGGAGGAACACCGGUGGCGAAGGCGGUUCUCUGGGCAUUACCUGACGCUGAGGAGCGAAAGCGUGGGGAGCAAACAGG